AUGUGGUUGGAGCACUGCAUGAAUGUGCAGAAACCAGGGAACAUCUCUGCCCAUAACAAAAACCCAAUGGGUGGCAUCUGGUGGCAGCUCCUCACCACCCACCCAGCACUGCAUGCAACCAUGUGCCAAGCACCCAAAGAGUGAGCAGAACAUGGGUUCAAUCACCAUCGCAAACCAGGGCGCGGGCAGCAGCUCCUGGUGUUGCAGGACUGACUGGGGCUGUGAGCUGGUUCUGCAGCCCCAGCGCCUGUCAGCCACUUUCUGCCACCUGAGUGCUCUCAGGGCAGUGAAUCUGAUUCUCUCCCCGUGGCUUUUUUGAGCUUUUCCUUCAGCCACCUGGUGAGCAUCACCACUGGAAAUCCCAGGUAUCGGUUCCGCAUCGAGCAAGUGGGUGGGCUUCAUUUAAAACUUGUUUGCAUGGUGAGCAGUUGACCUUACCUAAAUAUAUCAAACCAAAAAAAACCCCAACAAGCAGAUCUUAUAAAUACAGAGGGAGUUCAGCCCUCUGACCCACGUUGCUCUGGUUUGGCUUUUGCUUCACUGUGAAGCACUAGAGUGGGAACAGCGUGGGUGCCACGUGGGUGCAGCAGACAUGGCUAUAGAACUGCAUCCUACUGUGCUGUGUGGUGCUUCUUCCUGUGCUAAAAUACAUGUCUGCCAACAAAGCUGACAUCUAGCAAGUAUCAGUGUGGCUGUACUGUUGCUUUGGGUGAUGAAAUGAGAAAACCUGCAAAAGGAAACAAUUCCAGGGGCAGCUUUCUGCGUCGCUUUUGUUUGUACCACCAUGAUGAGCCCAAUGAGAUGGAGAUGUUUCUUCUUCCAAGGAGCCAACAUCCAGUGUAACCAUGGGCAGUAAUCACAUUAACUCCAGAAGCUACCAGCACUGAGUUGUGGGCUUGCUUUCCAAAGACUUCCCAAUACUUUUAUUAGCUCUGAAGUUGACCCUUAGCCAUGAUUAAUUCCAGAAGUGUGAGUAAUCUGUGAGUUACAGGGGUGUCUCACCAUGGGUGGGGAGCUGGGGACUCCCAUUGCUGCCUGCUGUAGUGGCACCAGUGGCAGGAGGGUGAUGGGAUCCAGCAGCACCUCUGGGGUUCAGCAUCACGUGGAGGAGGGACAGACGGCCAAUGGGACAAACAGCUUCAGGGUCCCUCUGUGGGUGCUCAGGGACUUUCCUGCUGCCCACCCGGGACUGGGGGAUGCUCUGCAGCCACAGGACCCUGAUGCAGUGAGAAACUGCUCCUUGGAAAUCCCAGCAGCCACAGUGCUGAGCACAGUGUUUCAAGCAGAGCGCUGCACACAAAGAGGCCAGAGGCUAAAAAAAAACAAAGACUGCAGAAAGGGGAAAUUUUGGUUCACGGCAGCUCAGACUGUGGUGGGGGUGAGGCAUGACUUCCUUCUUCCUCCCCGGCUUCUGCCCCCUCUUCAUUUUGCCAGUAGUCCCCACAGUCGGACACUUUAGGAUGCUGGAUGGAGGCUUCUUGUUGGUACUUAAUGAGUAACAAGCAGAAGUUAUCAAAAUAUAAUCUCAUAAUUAAGUACCACUGCUUCUAGGUUUUGGAAAACAAAACAAAAAAAGAGUCCUCUCUCUCUGCAGCCAGUUUGCUGGUAGACUUUUCGGGUUUACAUCUUCUCCAGAUGCAGUUCUGCAUCUCACUGUUAGCCAGGCAGGUGCAUCUCUUUCCUUCUCCUAUUUGUAGAUGCUACCAAGGAAGCUAAUGUAUUUUUGCUGGCCAUCUUCCUCAGAUGGUCAUGUGUUUGGCCAUCCCAGUGAUGUUGAUGUUCUUGGAGCCAGGUGAGCCCCCACCCCGGAGUUGUACUGGGAGCAGAGCUUUGUGCCCCCACCCAGGUUACCAGCAGCCUCUGGAGCAACCACCCCAUGCAGCAUCUCUUCUGAGCUGAGCACCCACCCUGCUUUGGGUUGUCAUAAAAUAUUUGCUAACCGCCUGUUUUGUCUGUUUUCAAGGCAGAUACAGCUGUUCUGUUUGAUUCAGUUGCAGAGCACUGGAGCAGCUGCCCAUUCAUCAUCGCCUGUGGUUGCUUGAAACAUGAGUCACUCAAGUGCUGAGUGCUCAUUACAGAAGAGGAGCAGUGAGAGCCAAGACUGUACAGGUGUGUGAGUGCUGCCAGCCCCAUCCCUGCAGUGCUGGAAAUGGUUGGGCUGCCAGGUCAAGCAGUGAGGAGCCCCCAUGGCUGACUGUAACCCCAUCAUCACCCCUGGAACUGCUUCUGGGGAGGAUCAGGACACUCCAUCCCAGGAGCACUGACUGGGGCUGCCCCAGGAGCAGCAGCUGGGCAGGCAGGGGGAUUUCAGCUGGACCCACGGUGCCCGGCUGCGCUCCCACCGCUCUCGGCUCUCAAAGCAAAAGUGCAAUCUCAAUGCAGGCGUGCAGGCUGCGCCGGCGCAGGGCCCUCCCCAAAGGGCUCGCCUCACUGCUGCCUGUAGUGUCAGGGCAGAGCCCAGCAUGAUCACUGAGUGUCCUGAUCCCGGUGUGUGGAGAGCCAGGCUGCAGCAGGAGGACUUCUGUAGCUGAUAAAUAGGUAAGACACUGAAACAACA